GUGCAGUUGACGAUGAGCCCACUCUGGUUGCAGUCUGCGUUGAGGUCACAUCCACCGUUGUAUUCGGAGCAGAGGUCUGGAGCUGCAGCAGGAAGGAUGAAACUUUCACCUGAUUGGCUCACAGCUUGGAGAUUCUGCCCCACUUCUCUUCCUGGGUCUCUUGCUGACUCCAUGGGUGUGGACCACUCCUGCCCAUCAAGAUGCAAUCAAAAGCCUUAAGGCUUUCAGUUCCCUAUAAGGCUCACUAACUGAAGUCUGUCUGCAGCAGAGCAGCCAUUCCCUCUGUUUCAAGAACAUUUCCUCCGUAGCCUAAAGUCAACAGCUACGAGUGGAUUUGGAAACCAAAGAGUGAACAAACCAGGUCAAUUCGGAGGUCAACUCUUCAAGGACGAGAAGCGAAUAGAUUCCAUCUCCGCCACGAGGACCAACUGUGGAAACACCUCCUCCAGACUCUGAUCCGUGAUACCCGUCAAUCAAAGCUACACCCCCAGCAGCUUAGAGGCACGAAUGCCUCUCAAACAUACGGAUGCAGACAGAAGAGUCAGACAAUAACGACAAGACAACGAUGAUGACGUAGCAAAAGAAAAUUCUGUCAUUUAUUCACAAAAUAAUUUCACGAGGCUUUUACUGGAGGAGAAUAAACGAAUAAAGGUAUUUGGACUGGACCAACCAGACUGUGGACGGAUUUAUGUUCAAGUUUAUUGUUAAGUUGUAAUCCCAGACCUCCAGUGCGCCCCCUCCAGAUGUUUUUAAUCACCAGCCGCCACUUUGUAUAACCAUCAAAAAACAUAACUUUUGUGCUGUUUUAUGUCAUUUUGUGAGCAGGACUGAAGCUGCAGGAAGAGCGUUUUAUUCCUGCAGAAGAAGAGGCAAGUUAUUUUAUCUGAACCACAUUUGGGUCAGACUGAUAUAACCAGCCAUGUUAUCAGACACUGAAGGACAGAGCCUUCAGCCUGUGUCUGUUUGUCAGGCAGUAACAUUCCUGGGGAAUGGUACCGAAUGGCAGAUUUAAAUUUUCAAGAUUGA